CUUAUAAAUAUAAAUUCAGUCAGACCCAUAUCCAGCAGGAGCUGGCUAAAACUCGACAUAUUGGCAAUUUUAUUUUCUUUUACUGAGCACAAGUUGGGAAUGUACUGAACUCACUAUGCUUUCACAACAUUACAAAAAAGACAUGGAUGAAGAGGUCCAAAUGAUUCAGCUCAGGUCUUCCAUCGAGUAAAAGCCAGCACGGUCUCUGAAAGCAUGGCUACAGAAUCCUUGAGGCCUGAAUCCAAUCCUGAAAACCCUACUGGAAAGGGCGUAAAGAUUUUGAAUGGGGCUAGGAUCCUAACCUUUCUUGUUCAUCGAUACAACUGCGCCAUUCCACCAAAGUGACUACAUUGGAGAAGCAAAUAAAGGUCUCUUAAUGUCCUGUUCAAUAUUCCUCCAAUACCUGGUACACCAAACCAACAAGACGACAGCCCAGUGAUGUGGCUAAGUUGCGGAAUUUUACUAUGUAGAAAAUUGCUGCUACACUUGUCUACAAAGCAGUGAUUGUUUGAAGUAUCUCAACAUGUUUCUGAUGAGGCACAAACUUUACAGCAUUGAAAAUAACUGAGUGGAUCCUUUUCUGAUUCCACCGGACUAUUGCAAUUCUUUAUACAGUUCAAUGAAUGAGAGGUUUCCCGGGAAUGAAAUGUGUUUUUGUGCAAUGGAGCUUCCAGCAACACUCAGCUUUCUGAAGUCCGAGUUUCCUUUAUUAACGCGGCACAUUCAAAGAAAACAUUUGUGUGAUCUCAGCUGGGGAAAACAGUUGGGUGCUACAAUUGGCUUUAAUACUCAUGGGCUGGGGAAAGAAAGCAGCAGCCACAGACUUCUGCCCUUGAUUGCUAUGCGCUGACCCCUGCUGGGAAAUAUACAUGUGGAUAUCAGGUGUGAAAAAGAGUGCGCUCAGCUGUGACACUCCCCUGAUUGAACCUUCUGCCAACAUUCAAUGACAGGGUUUAUUUGGCUGAAAUAAUGGAAGGUAGCUGGCACAUGCUGCUUUCAAAGUUGGGAGGGGUUUAACAAAAACAUGCAAGUGAAGCAAAGGAUAUCUGUCAGAAGCAGUCCAAAACAGAAGAUUAUACUGUCAGCUUCAAAGGCAAUUAUGAAUUGACUACAGAAAUUAUUAGGCAUUAAGUUUACAAAGGACAAUAACCAUGAACAAAGGUUCAAAUAGAAAUUACCGACUGCUGCGCUUUUAUGACACUUGUGUGGGCU